GACGAACGCUGGCGGCGUGCUUAACACAUGCAAGUCGAACGGAAAGGCCCUGCUUGCAGGGUACUCGAGUGGCGAACGGGUGAGUAACACGUGGGUGAUCUGCCCUGCACUUCGGGAUAAGCCUGGGAAACUGGGUCUAAUACCGGAUAGGAGCCAUUUUUAGUGUGAUGGUUGGAAAGUUUUUUCGGUGUAGGAUGAGCUCGCGGCCUAUCAGCUUGUUGGUGGGGUAAUGGCCUACCAAGGCGGCGACGGGUAGCCGGCCUGAGAGGGUGGACGGCCACAUUGGGACUGAGAUACGGCCCAGACUCCUACGGGAGGCAGCAGUGGGGAAGAUUGCACAAUGGGCGCAAGCCUGAUGCAGCGACGCCGCGUGGGGGAGGACGGCCUUCGGGUUGUAAACGCCUUUCGCUAGGGACGAAGCUUUUUGUGACGGUACCUAGAGAAGAAGCACCGGCUAACUACGUG
rnacentral:rRNA from 1 species